rnacentral:rRNA from 1 species
GACGAACGCUGGCGGCGUGCUUAACACAUGCAAGUCGAACGGAAAGGCCCUGCUUGCAGGGUGCUCGAGUGGCGAACGGGUGAGUAACACGUGGGUGAUCUGCCCCUUACUUUGGGAUAAGCCUGGGAAACUGGGUCUAAUACUGGAUAGGACCAUGCUGUAGGUGGUGUGGUGGAAAGAUUAGUUUCGGUAAGGGAUGAGCUCGCGGCCUAUCAGCUUGUUGGUGGGGUAAUGGCCUACCAAGGCGUCGACGGGUAGCCGGCCUGAGAGGGUGGACGGCAACAUUGGGAGUGAGAUACGGCCCAGACUCCUACGGGAGGCAGCAGUGGGGAAUAUUGCAAAAUGGGCGCAAGCCUGAUGAAGCGACGCCGCGUGGGGGAUGACGGCCUUCGGGUUGUAAACUCCUUUCAGCCAUGACGAAGCCCUUGUGGUGACGGUAGUGGUAGAAGAAGCACCGGCUAACUACGUG